rnacentral:rRNA from 1 species
UACGUAGGGGGCAAGCGUUGUCCGGAUUUAUUGGGCGUAAAGCGCACGCAGGCGGUCUUUCGCGUUUUGAGUGACAGGUGGGGGCUUAACUCCCACAGGUCUCAGAAUACGGGAAGACUUGAGGGCUUCAGGGGGACGCGGAAUUCCAGGUGGAGCGGUGAAAUGCGUAGAUAUCAGGAGGAACACCUGUGGUGUAGACAGCUUGCUGGACCAUUUCUGACACUGAGACACGAAAGCGUGGGUAGCAAACAGG